rnacentral:rRNA from 1 species
GACCUAGAGUUACUGUAGAGGGGGGGUAGAAAUUUCCAGGUGUAGCGGCUGAAAUGCGUAGAGAUCUGAAGGAAUCCCGGUGGCGAAGGCGGGCCCCCCGGACCAGAUACUGACCACUCAGAUGCGAAAAGCCUGGGGAGCAAACAGGAUUAGAUACCCUGGUAGGUCCACGCCCGUAAACGAUGUCUACUUGGAAGUUGUGGCCCUGAGCCCGUGGCUUUCGGAGCUAACGCGUUAAGUAGACCGCCUGGGGAUACGGUCGCAAGAUUAAAACUCAAAUGAAUUGACGGGGCCCCGCACAAGCGGUGGCGCAUGUGGUUUAAUUCGAUGCAACGCGAAGAACCUUACCUACUUUUGACAUCCAGAGAACUUUCCAGAGAUGGAUUGGUGCCUUCGGGAACUCUGAGACAGGUGCUGCAUGGCUGUCGUCAGCUCGUGUUGUGAAAUGUUGGGUUAAGUCCCGCAACGAGCGCAACCCUUAUCCUUGUUUGCCAGCGAGUAAUGUCGGGAACUCCAGGGAGACUCCCCGUGAUAAACCGGAGGAAGGUGGGGACGACGUCAAGUCAUCAUGGCCCUUACGAGUAGGGCUACACACGUGCUACAAUUGCGCAUACAGAGGGCGGCCAACUUGAGAAAGUGAGCGAAUCCCAAAAAUGCAUCGUAGUCCGGAUGGAGUCUCAACUCGACUCCCAUGAAGUUGGAAAUCCCUUGUUAAUCCGUGGUAUCCAGUAAUCCCAACAGGGGUGAAAAUAACCGAUUUC